rnacentral:rRNA from 1 species
UGGGGAAUAUUGCACAAUGGGCGAAAGCCUGAUGCAGCAACGCCGCGUGAAGGAAGAAGGCCUUUGGGUCGUAAACUUCUGUCCUUGGGGAGAUAAUGACGGUACCCUUGGAGGAAGCCCCGGCUAACUACGUGCCAGCAGCCGCGGUAAUACGUAGGGGGCAAGCGUUAUCCGGAAUUAUUGGGCGUAAAGAGUACGUAGGUGGUUUCCUAAGCACAGGGUUUAAGGCUAAGGCUCAACCAUAGUUCGCCCUGUGAACUGGGAGACUUGAGUGCAGGAGAGGAAAGCGGAAUUCCUAGUGUAGCGGUGAAAUGCGUAGAUAUUAGGAGGAACACCAGUGGCGAAGGCGGCUUUCUGGACUGUAACUGACACUGAGGUACGAAAGCGUGGGGAGC